rnacentral:rRNA from 1 species
AGAGCGAACGCUGGCGGCAGGCUUAACACAUGCAAGUCGAGCGCCCCGCAAGGGGAGCGGCAGACGGGAGAGUAACACGUGGGAACGUACCUUUCGGUUCGGAACAACCCAGGGAAACUUGGGCUAAUACCGGAUACGCCCGUAAGGGGAAAGAUUUAUCGCCGGAAGAUCGGCCCGCGUCUGAUUAGCUAGUUGGUGAGGUAACGGCUCACCAAGGCGACGAUCAGUAGCUGGUCUGAGAGGAUGAUCAGCCUCACUGGGACUGAGACACGGCCCAGACUCCUACGGGAGGCAGCAGUGGGGAAUAUUGGACAAUGGGCGCAAGCCUGAUCCAGCCAUGCCGCGUGGGUGAUGAAGGCCCUAGGGUUGUAAAGCCCUUUCGGCGGGGAAGAUAAUGACGGUACCCGCAGAAGAAGCCCGGCUAACUUCGUGCCAGCAGCCGC